AAAAUUGUUGAAUCGCUGUAUUUAUUAUUCCAGAUGCCAUAGUUAGAAAAUAAACUUCACUUAUAAAUUGAGUUUUUUUUUUUUUACAACAUUUUAGGUCCCUUUAUAUAUCUUAUUUAGUCAUAAUUAAAUGCAAUUUUAAAGUAAUUAAAUACACGCAAUGGAUUUUUCAACAAUUAGAUUCGUUAUAAUCAUCAUUGGGAUGAUAUUUAUUUCUACUGUAAUAUACGAAGCAAAAGGUGAUGAUAUCGGAUAUGGUACCCUCGGCAAAGACAAUAUUAUUCCCAGAAAGUUUAAAGAGAUCGGAACCAUUGCAAACAAAUAUCGACGAGGAUGUGAGAAAGAGACACGUUGUGAAAAAGAUCCAAGCGACUCGCCAGACCCUUGUGAUGACAAGGAGAUAAAAUUCAAGAAACCCACCAAAAUCAGAAAAGAGAUAUAAGUCCGGGAAAUCCAACAAAAAGAAAAACGGGAAUAAUCUGGGAAAAAGGUUGAUCACUUAAUAAGGCUGAUAGCUUGUUUAUAUAAAUUUUUGUUUGUGCAGUUUAUUUUGAUACUCUUGUAACUUUUUUUCAAUACAUAUCAUAUUGAUAGUAAUAUUUAUUUAUUGGAACAAAAAAUUGUAACCACUGUGAGGUAACACAAAGAAACCGAGUUUUUUUACUAUCAGAUAUGAAGUUUACAAAUCUAGAUAUAUAUUGCAUUC